UAUUGGGCGUAAGCGCGCGCAGGUGGUUUCUUAAGUCUGAUGUGAAAGCCCACGCCUUAACCGUGGAGGGUCAUUGGAAACUGGGAGACUUGAGUGCAUAAGAGGAAAGUGGAAUUCCAUGUGUAGCGGUGAAAUGCGUAGAGAUAUGGAGGAACACCAGUGGCGAAGGCGACUUUCUGGUCUGUAACUGACACUGAGGCGCGAAAGCGUGGGGAGCAAACAGGAUUAGAUACCCUGGUAGUCCACGCCGUAAACGAUGAGUGCUAAGUGUUAGAGGGUUUCCGCCCUUUAGUGCUGAAGUUAACGCAUUAAGCACUCCGCCUGGGGAGUACGGCCGCAAGGCUGAAACUCAGAGGAAUUGA
rnacentral:rRNA from 1 species